rnacentral:lncRNA from 1 species
AUUAUUGCCAUUAGGUAAUUUACAAUGUAUAAAGCGAGAGAAAAGAACCUUUUAGCCUAAUUUUGCUUUAAAAAUUAAAAGGGUCUCCCGGACUAAAUUACUCGUCAGAGUAUUCCCCCAUUAUUAGUUUUUUUUUUAAAAUAAUUUCAGAGUAUACAAAUUCAAUAAACUGAUUCACAGAAUCUUGUAGUGACCUAGCAGAUUUCCCAUAAAAUAAAAAUAUAUCUGUUGAUUUUAUGGGUUUUAUAAUUUAUAAUUUUGUUUGCUAUUCAUUAAAUCAUUUUUUUAAUUUCUCUAAAGGAGCACUACAUAAUAAACAACUGAAACCAGAUUUUUUUUUCUUUCUAAAAUGUCUUUUAGUACUAGUUCAUGAUUUAUUGAUUGAAUUAUUUUCUAAUUUUACUAAUAUUCUUAUGUUAUUCAAAAUUUAGCUACUAAAUAAUUUGUGUUAUUAACUAGAGAAUUUUUUAAAACAAUUAAGAAGCUCUACAGAAAGCAACUGAAUUAUAUAUAUAGAUAUAUAC